GAGUGUACGGACUGAAACAGUGAGAGCCAAGAGAGGCAGAGAAAGGGGUAGUGAGGAAGAGGGAAAUGGAUGGAGAGAGCAUAGUGUUUCCAGUUGUUACAUGUUCUGUGUCUGGAGCUGGACUUGACUGACAGACGCUCAGUCUUUGUGUGCUGUUUGUCCUUUGCUUCCUGGAUGCUGAAGGAUUGAUGGGGAUGGAGACACAACACACUGAACACACUGCUCUGCUGUUCACCUGGACGCUGCACUGACAGAGGUCUGUGAAGGGGUCACACGACAGAGUGGGUGGACAGACAGAAGCACAGUGUCCACAUCAGUAAAUCCUCACGUCUUCGGCGCUCUGUCAGGAGAACCUUUUUAGCUAAUCAGGAGAGGCCGGCCAACCGGAGGGGUAGAGAUGAUGCGGCAGGGCGGCCAUGUUGCCCUGGCUCUCAUGUCAUCACUGCUGCUGCUGUGGCGUUACGCAGCAGCCAUCGAAGUUCCACAAGACCCAAAGAUCCUUCAGGAGCUGAAGCAGCCCCCCACCAUAGUCAAACAGUCAGUGAAGGACUACAUUGUCGACCCCAGAGAUAACAUCAUCAUCGAGUGUGAGGCCAAGGGCAACCCAGUGCCAACGUUCUCAUGGCGAAGGAACGGGAAGUUCUUCAACAUUGGGAAAGAUCCCAGGGUGACGAUGCGGAAACGCUCGGGGACGCUGGAGAUCGGUUUCCGUAGCGGCGGGCGACCGGAGGACUAUGAGGGGGAGUACCAGUGUUUCUCCAGCAACGACCUGGGAGUGGCUCUGUCCAACAAGAUCCUGCUGCGCGUCUCCAAGGCUCCUCUGUGGCCCAAAGAGGUGCUGGAGCCCGUGGUGGUGACUGAAGGCACCCCGCUGGUUCUACCCUGCAACCCCCCACCAGGCCUGCCUCCUCCGUUCACCUUCUGGAUGAACAGCGCGAUGUCUCCGAUCCUUCAGGAUAAGAGAGUGUCCAUGGGUCUGAAUGGAGACCUGUACUUCUCCAAUGUUUUGGCCAAAGACGCUCACAAUGACUACAGCUGCAACGCUCGCUUCCUUUUCACACACACCAUCCAGCAGAAGAACCCCUUCUCGCUCAAAGUUCAGACAAAUCACAAUCUAUUCCAAAUGAAGGAUGACAUAUCCCCAUCUAGAGCAGAGCCGUAUGAUGAAACAUCUUACAAUGCCACUGACCCCUAUGGUGGCCGUAAACUUGCAGAGUCCACGCCCACCUUCCUCUCACCCUCAGGGAGUGAGAGCUCCAAGAUGGUGCUACGAGACGAGCAACUGCUGCUGGAGUGUAUCGCUGCUGGACUGCCGACCCCCGCCAUCAAGUGGUUUAAGAAGGGGGGGGACCUGCCAGGGCGGGCGAAGUUUGAGAACUACAACAAGACCCUGAAGAUCAUCAACGUGUCGGAGGAGGAUGCUGGGGAGUAUGUGUGCAUGGCCAACAGUCAUUUAGGCAGCAUACGCCACUCCAUCUUUGUCCAGGUCAAAGCGGCUCCUUAUUGGCUGGACAAACCUACGAACCUGGUGCUGGCCCCGGACGAGAACGGGCGCCUGGUGUGUCGCGCAAACGGAAACCCCAAAACCAACAUCCAGUGGCUGAUCAACGGACAGCCCAUAGACAGCUCUCCACACAACCCCAGCAGACAGGUGCAGGGGGACACCCUCAUCUUCCGCUCGGUACAGAUUGGAAGCAGCGCUGUGUACCAGUGCAACGCCUCCAACGAGCAUGGCUACCUGCUGGCCAACGCCUUCGUCAGCGUGCUCGACAUGCCUCCGAGGAUGCUGGCUCCUAAGAACCAGCUGAUCAAAGUCAUCCAGAACAACCGCACCUUCCUGGACUGUCCCUUCUUCGGCUCCCCUCUGCCGGACCUGCGCUGGUUUAAGAACGGACAGGGCAGCGGGCUGGAUGGCGGGCAAGUAACCGUGUUUAUGUCACGGCACACUGGAGAUCAUACGGGCCAGAAUGGAGGGACGAGGGGGACCUACACCUGUGUGGCCAGCAGCAUGCUGGGAAAGGCCGAGAACCAGGUCCGCCUGGAGGUCAAAGAGCCCACACGUAUAAUCAGAGCCCCGGAGCACCAGUCCGCCAUCCGGGGCUCCACGGUCCACCUGGACUGUAAGGUGACCUCUGACCCCAGCCUGCCCGUCACUGUGAGCUGGACCAAGGACGACAAGCCCCUCCACCUGGGAUGGAGGCUGAAGAAAAACGAGCAGUCCCUGAGCAUCCCUAAUGUGAACGAAGGCGAUGAGGGCACAUACAGCUGCUCUGUGAGAUCUGAGAUAGACGAGGACUCAGCCUCAGCCCGCCUCACUGUGUUAGAGGAAGCCUCCCUCCACCCCUCAGUCUCUAGUGCCUUGCCUCCAGACCGUCCGGACCCUCCCAUGGAUCUGGACCUGUCGGACCCCGCGGCCCGCAGCGUUCGCCUCACUUGGAUCCCCGGGAACGACCACAGGAGACCGAUCACAGAGUUCCUGGUCCAGUUUGAGGAGGACCGAUGGGAGUCCGGCAGGUGGCAGGACCUAUCCUCGUACCCUGGAGACCUGAACUCUGUCAUCCUGCAGCUCAACCCCUUCGUCAACUACCAGUUCAGAGUCAUCGCCAUCAACUCCGUGGGCCAGAGCACCCCCAGCCGGCCCUCCCCCCGAUACAAGACCAGCGGAGCGGCUCCAGAUGCUAUUCCCAGAGGACUACGAGGAUGGGGAUCCAAGAAGGACAAUAUGGAGAUCACCUGGGAGCCUCUGCUGGACCUGGAGAGAAAUGGCCCCAACAUGCACUACAGUGUGUGGUGGAGGAGGAAGGAUGCAGGGGAGGAGUGGAGGAAUGUGACCACAGCGGGGCCCAAACAUGUUGUCCACAUCACAGAAACCUACGUGCCUUACGAGAUCAAAAUCCAGGCCAGGAACGAGUUUGGGCAGGGGCCCGAGUCCAAUGUGGUCACUGGGUACUCUGGGGAGGACAAUCCCAGCGACGCUCCCACUGACUUGCGGGUGUCGAAGGCCGACAGCACCAAGGUGAACCUUCACUGGAGGCCCGUGAACCUGAGCUCUGUGCAGGGGGAGUUCAAGGAGUACAGGUUGUACUACUGGCGUGAGUCCAGUCUGGUUCCAGGUCUGCUGGUCAGUAAAGAGAAGAAGACCAAAGGGUUCUACAGCGUAGUUGCAGAGCCAUCGGGAGUCCUCAGCGACCUGGUGCCAUUCUCUAAAUACAAGAUGUUCAUGGUGGUGGCCAACAGCGGCUUAGAGGGUCCGCCCAGCAACACGGUGGAGAUCACCACCAAGGAGGGGGUGCCGGAUGCUCCCAAGUUUUUCAGGAUAAACAGGAGAGGUUUUGACACCAUCCACCUUCAAUGGGACAAGCCUCUAGAGCCCAACGGCCUCCUGAUUGGUUACCAGCUCAAGUACCAGACAGUCAACGCCUCCAGGAUGGGCCGCCACCAGCUGGAGACCUUCCUUCCCAAUGUGACAGAGUUCAGCCUCCGCCUGCCGGACCGCUCCACCCGCUACAAGUUCUUCCUGUCAGCGCUCACACAGGUGGGGUCGGGGGAAGUGUUCGCUGAGGAGUCCCCACACUUCACCAAUGAAGACAACGGUACUGACUCUACAGGCCUAGUCGAGCUUACAGAGGCCUCCGUAGAUUCAGCUUUCUCUCCUACUCCUCCUCCUCUCGCUCCUCUUCCUCCAACUACCAUCGCUCCUACAACCAUUAGUACCUCAACUACUACUACCACUACUUCUACUACUACUGCUGCUACUACCACUACGACUGAGGCGACCACUACCACUGCACGUCCUGAGCUGGUCCCCACCAGGCGCAAUGAUCAGAAUGUGUUGGUGGCCCCUGGGCUGGAGAUCUGGAAUCUGACGGUGGAGCCUAACAGUAACUACGCUAACGUCAGCUGGAGACACAACUUCCCGGCCGGCAGCAGCGAGUUUGUGCUAGAGUUCACACUGGACAGCAACAAGUCGGUGAACGUUGUCCCCGUGAAACAGUCCCCCAUUACGGUGGCCGAUCUGAUCGCAGGCGCCAUGUACCAUCUGAGGGUUUACUCCCAUGAGCUCAACAGCGUCAGCAGCAAAUCUAUCACCUUUAAGACCAAAGCAGCCUACAUAGACCAGGUGGACAUUGCCACUCAAGGCUGGUUCAUCGGCCUGAUGUGUGCCAUCGCCCUCAUCAUCCUCAUCCUGCUCAUCGUCUGCUUCAUCAAGAGGAGUCGCGGAGGCAAAUACCCAGUUUCUAUAAUGUCUAGGUGGUGGUUGCGUGACUGGUUUUGCAAAAUGUCUAGUCCGUGACAAAAAAGAUAUGGCGUUGGACGCAGUGGAUCACAAAGACCAGGAUGGAUCUUUUGAUUACCAGUCCUACUGAUCUCUUCUUUAUGAAGAAUGAGUCUGUCUUUUCUGUAUCUGUCCACUCUGACUAAAAACUUUUCAAUUUAACCUGCCUUCUAAAUCUCAGAUACUACCACUACAUGUUCUCACUCAGCUGUGUGAGAGUGACACAAGCUUUUAUCUUUUAUUGUAGACACCGUGGAAUAAGACAAGGCCUCUGAAUCUUAAGUUGACAUUAUGAAUACCACCUAACAGCUUCGGGCAAUGGCUUAUCAUUGUGAAGCUAUGCUCUAAUGUAGGUUGUUUUUAAUUAAAGCAUUAUAUAAAAUAGCAUUAUUUGAUUGACAAAACACACUGAUAAAACGUAAUUGUUUACUUUAAUCAAACGUAUUAUAAUACAUUUGAUUAAAGUCAAUGUUUCAGUUUUUUCAGAGCAGUGCGUCUGGUGGCACUGACAUUCACAAGAUGGAUCAGAUUAGGGUUCAGUGAACCUUAAAAAGAGGCACAAUCAGUUUCUGUUAUCAUCUGAGCGCUGCUGUGCCUAACACUGAUGAAUCCCUCUCCAGUGUGUGGCCCCUGCCUGUUAUCUAAUCAAUCAUUACUCUAAAUAACAUUAACACCCAGCCCGUCUCUCACACUCAAGGUCUUUGCUUUACUCAGCCCUCAACACCCAGCUUCCAGCUCUGUGUGUGUUGUGUGUGUGUGUGUGUGUGUGUUUUUGUGUGCAUGCAGUAUUUACAUGCAUGUUUCAUGUGGAGCUCCUUCCUGCCUCUCUCUGUCUCUACACUUCCUCUCUCUUGCUGUCUCCCCUGUUUCCUCUCGACUCGACCCUCUCUCUCCCCCACGCUGAAAUGGGUCAUCUGUCCCUGACAGGAAUGAAAAUGAAAACGAGAACGAGAACGAAAACGAGAACAGCAGCGACGAGGACAACAAGCCUCUGCAGGGCAGCCAGACGUCUCUGGACGGCAACGUGAAGGAGAGCGACGACAGCCUGGUGGACUACGGAGAGGGCGGCGACGGCCAGUUCAACGAGGACGGCUCUUUCAUUGGCCAGUACACGGUGAAGAAGGACAAGGACGAAACGGAGGGCAACGAGAGCUCUGAGGCCACCUCGCCCGUCAACGCCAUCUACUCGCUGGCGUAGCGCCGUAGAACCACCCGGGGGACGCGGUGGCACCCUCUGAUUUCAGGGUGUUACCACAAACCACAACACAAUACACCAGACACAAACACACACACGUGAAUAUAUUAAUAUAUGAAACACAUUAAACACAGAAGGGACGCAGCGGCCUGUCUGGACACUGCAGGCUUCCCUCUGCAGUAUCGGGGGAACAGGAGUGGAAUCAGACCACAAGCCUUUAUUCUAGUUUCCAGCUGGAAGAAAUGGGCCCACUGGAGGUGACGUUGGGACAAAGAGGACACUGCUCGUUUUCCUCUGCUCCGCCUGCCCCUACACAGACUUGGGAGCAGCCUUCAGCACGUGGAGGCAUUGACAAGCGUUCUUUAGAGAUUUGACCUUGGUUGGUUUCUGCUCCAAAUAUUUUCAGCGUCCCUGCUCUCCUUCCUGAUUCGCCCCUCAAAAACCUCUGUGAAGCAUCCCAGUAAAGUACACACACGAGGUCCCUUACGCACACACGUCCUGUAACAUAUCAGCUUCUAACCAUCAAACUCAACAGGAUGCCCGCAGAUAUGUUUAUCAUAUUGAUAUUUACGCAAUGAAAGAGUUUAGUUUUUCCACAGCUGGUAGACGAGUCAUUAAUUCUUAAUGAGUGCUGUAUACAGUCCUGGCACACAUUUUAGUGCCCUGCAAAACUAUGCACUAUCACCUCCUUCAUAACAUUUUGGGUUUGAUCUGGUUAGUAAAAGUACACGUUUUGAGUUUCUUUUUUACCACUUGCAAACUAAAUCACAUGCUUUUAUUCACUUUGCCUUGUUCGAUGGAGAAAACACGUUUUUCUUACCUCUAAUCCAAUAUUAUAGUGCAGAUGUUCAAAAUGGCCGCCACAAGAAAAGCUAUUUCUGCCACAAGCACCAAGCUCUGCUAAAGUAUGUUGUUAAUGAAUCCCCUUUUUUUUAAGAAUGACUAUUUUGGAGCAUGGUAGUAGCUUAGAGCAAGGAACAUGGAAGGCAAACGAGAGGAAAGUUAGUUUUGCCUGAGAAAAACGGUAGACCUCAACCGAGUCAAUCCCCUAGUUAGCAUGCAUGCUAACUCUGCAUUCAUGCUAACUCUCUAUUCAUGCUAACUCUGCAUUCAUGCUAACUCUGCAUUCAUGCUAACUCUGCAUUCAUGUCACAUGGGGACAACUGUCGGCUGACAGUGAACAUGUUUCUGUUUUACUAUUUACUACACACAGUACUUUUUAAAAGUAAUUUUGCACCAAACAAAACAUUGCAAUGUCAACGCUAAUAAUAAAACAAGUUACAAUUGCUUUUUAUUUAUUUAUAAAUAUUCCAAAUGACCUAUAUUAAUAUUUUUAACAUUUACACCUUCAUUCUGGAAGUUUAGGCCCAAAUCGCAAAGAUCCCAAUGAGUGUUGAUUACGUGUAAGCCAAGUCAUGUUUUCAAGUUGGACGCUUAAAUGUACUUUUACCCAAUGGGACAUGAAUGCAGCUUGAGAGCCAGGAAUCCUUGAGGUGUGUUCAGACUACAUGUUUUAUUUAUUUUACCAUCUGUAUGGAUUGUGUUUUGUUUUUCUUUCUUUUUGCAUUCUGAGUUUAUUUGCCUUAAAAAGCCAUUUUAAAAACAUUAGAGUAACAUGCACUGACCUGCAGUUCUCUUUGUUACUCCAGACCUUUUUGUUUGUCUUUUGUUUAUGAGUUGGAGUCAUUAAGCCUAAAAAUAGACACAACGUUUUGCUGAAUGACACGUUUGGAUUAUUUAAUUUGUGCAUUGAUUUUGUAUUCAAUCACCCCCUCUGAAAUGUCAGUCUGAACCCACCUUUACACAGGAAUCCAAUAAUAUUUCCCUCCCUCUAGUUUUUAAACUCGAUUAUUUUGUCAAUCAUUACCGAUAAAAAAGGCACUAGCGCAAGAAUACUUGAAUUUACAGCAUGAAAAUAUAUACAUUAAAUUCACAGCCACCGUUGAGAUGAAACGUUUCCGCUAGUUUUUUAGUUUUUGCUGAGGAAGAAAGAAAAAAGAAAAGAAGUAUGUCCACUCAGUAUUUCACUUGCCUACAACCAUGUUUGCCCUUCUGUUAGCUCACCGAUGGACUGACUUUAUGUUCGACUAAACGUGCACUGAGUGCUUCUCUAUUCAGCUCAUCAUGUCGGCACUCAGACUUGCUACUCAACAGUACUAUUAAAACCUCCGAUGCUAAAUCAAAAGAUCUUAACAGCAGUUAGCGACUGCAGUUCACUUUUUAUUUUAAAUAUUUAUUUUAUAUUUCUAUUUAUUACAUUAUGUGGAUAGUAUUAAUAUAAGUCCUUCAUUUAAUUAAUUGUUAUAUACAUAUUUCUUACCAACUUAUUUUGUUGUUUCAUAGCCAGAAAUAGCCAGAAUAAAGAUGUCUCCAGAAUAUGUUGUUGUUCAUGAGAAGCAUAAACACAAGUGUAUGUUUCAGAUAUUUGUGUCAGCUUUUCCAACAUGAGAAUAUCUGUCAUGGCUGUUGUUUAUCUGUCAUUGUGCUGCUCUUCUCGUACUCAUGUCGUAUUACAGGUACUCUGUGUUUUACUUCAGAUGUAUGUACCUUAACCUUCCCACCACACAGUUAUUAUUUAUUUGACAUAUUUUCUGUACAUGUAGGUCCUGAUCUCUUAUAUUUGUAAAUAUAUAAAAGUCGAUUUCCCCAAAAAA